ensembl:lncRNA
AUGUCUGUGGGAUCAUUAUCUGCAGAACUCCCACAAGAACUUCGUAAAGGGCAGAAGAAGAGGGCCGAGCUGCAGCUCUGCAACAGGGAGAGGAGGUCCAACGCGGACGAGGAGGAACCGGGACCGCCGCACAUUAAAGAGGAAGAGGAGGAACUGUGCACCAGCCAGGAUGCAGAGCAGUUUGUGGUGAAGCAGGAGAAUGGGUCGCUUUUGCUUCUUCAGUUCAAACCCAAAUCUGAAGAACUAUUUGAGGUUUCAGAAGGCAGCCUGGUCCCGUCUGAGGAGGAGAUGGACGGUCAGUACAGAGCGCUGGACGCUGCCUGGAGGCCGCGAGGAAAGCUGCGUAGAAUCGAGGAAACCGAGCCGGACACGGGGCCCGCUGCGGCGGAUGAGGAAGACUCCGAGGCCUCUUCGGCCUCCCAGCCGGCCCCGGCCCAGGAGAUGAAGAAGAGGAAGAAGGUGGCCACCGCCGCCGAUGGGGACAGACAGUACCCCUGGGGGGAUGGACACCAAGAUACAAUGGCGCGCUUUUGGCUGACACACCCGAUCUUCUACGAUAAAGCCCAACAGCACUACAAAAACAAAGAAAUGAGGAAGCAGCUCAUGCAGGACUUGAUUCAAAAGAACCACAAGGAGUGGGAGAAGAUCCUCACCCCCCUGCCCACCGUGGUCCAAGUGGAUGCACAUUUGCGCAACAUGCGAACCAGAUUUGUGAAGCUGCUAAAGCGUAAAUCUGCUGCCCCCGCGCUGACGUUGUCCUACAAGGAUCAGAAGAUCUGGGAGCGCUACCAGUUCCUGCGUCCGUACAUUCAGCGCAACCGGACAACAGCAACACACUGUAUUCCUGGCGUGCAGUCCAGAGGGGACGCUGCUGAGGAUGACAUUGAUGAAGAUCCCAGUCUUCAAUUGAGUCAGCGGGUCGAAUUGGGCGGUCAGCCCUCCAGCUCUCAGACGCCGCCAAAAGGGAAAGGAAAGGUCAUAAACAGAAGACCUCUCACUUCGCCUACGCCAUCUACUGGUCCAGACAGCGAGGACGUGUCUGAGAUGGAGCAAAUACUGCAGCAGGCCAAGGACCUGAUCUCGAGCAUCAGGGCUCCAUCGCGCAGUGAGCAUGAGAGGAGGGUCAGGGACUUCAGCAGGUAUAUGGAGUCAGAGAUGCUUCUAAUACCAGAGUCCUUAUGGGACGAGUGCAGCUUCUCCAUCAUGAACGUGAUCCGAGGCUUCAAGACGGCUCAGAAGCAGGGACACCUGGCCCUGUCGCAGCAUCAAGCCUACCAGCAGAGUUAUGGGAGCCAGCCGUACCAGCAGCCACAGGGGGGGUAUUCCACACAGACUGGCAGCUUGCAGCCUCAUAGUGGUACCUUCCAGAAUCACCAGCAACCGGGCACUUUCCACCAACAGAGUGGGACCUUUCAGUAGCUGCAGCCGCUGCUGGAUCGGACAUGCUGCCCACCGUGGUCAGCAGUUCUGUUUGGACGCCAGCUGGAGCAAACGCUUGUGGACUUUGGCGUUCAUCCCGUGAGGAAGAGGAAGUCUACGGCUGGAAUCGCCAAAUGUGUUGCCAACCCCAACAGCUGCUAAGUGGGCAGAGUUGAGCAGGACUCAGACUUGCUUUGUAAUUUUUUUUACAGCUUAUCUAUUUGUACGCACUGUUUGCACUUAAAAAAUAAAGUGUGCAUUGAAGUGAGGAGCUGACGCCUGGACGGUCUCGUGCUUUUACCUCACCAGGUUUCCCACAAGGACACAGUCUCCUCACCGUUGUAUUA